ACUCCUGAUCGUUGUGCAUGUCUGAUCUGCAACUACAGGAAACGUAAUCCAUAUCAUUCCAAAGGGUUCACAUAGUUUUUCUUGCAACUGUAUAUACAUACACACACACGUUUGAUUGGGUUAUGUACUGUAUGUUCAUGUUUAUCUUUAAAGGCAUCCAGACCACUUCAGCUCAAUGUAUCAUGCAAUGUAACAUCCAAGUACCUCCAAAGAGUCAGACAGGUCCUGAAGUUCCAGCUCAAUGGCAAAAACAAGAUCCAAGCCAUCAACACAUAUGCCCUACUGGUCAUCUGGUACCCAGCCGAAAUAAUCCGGUAAAGAGAAGAACUGGUCACCAUGGAUGUCAAGACCAGAAAACUACUCACUAUGAAUGGAGCAUUCCACUCAAAAUCCAACACUGAGAUAUUUGUGGCGGAACCAACCUCGCCGCUAUGUACUGGAGAAGCCUGGUUGCUCGCCUGCUGCCUUUAGACUAUGGCCCUUGGGAGACUGAAAACUUAUGGACUUUUAUUGGGUGUGUAUGGCCCUUUAAGACAGUCGGUGGGCAUAUUGGGGCUUAUGUACUGGUGCUGGCCCUUUAAGCACCUUUUUGGGGCAUAGGGAUAAUUGGGACACUGCCCUUUUAAAACGGUGUCCCCAGACUUGUUUGGGACACUGCCCCUUUAUGACAGUGUCCCCUGUGUCCUAGACCUGGUUAAAACCCUUUGUGCCUAGCUAUUUCCCACUUGGUUCAGUAAAUGGGGCUUACUGAACCAAGUACCACACAGGCGGACCACCUGUAUUGGGAGUUUGUCGGCAAUUUACCUCCCAGCAGCUGCGGUUAACCGCAGCUUAAUUGACAAUGCUGGGUGGCCUUUGUUCGUUUGCCGAACACGUGGUGGCGGCCAUCUUUGAUCAUUCGCACGAGGUCAGCGGUAUGUGUAGCCAAAUUUAUGGAACUAAAAUCGGCUAGACAUUUCCGCGAACACUGCUGAGCCCUACCUUCUCCCACAAUGAUUUUGCAGCCACAGAGACUAAGUCCCAUUUGGCGAUGGGACUUAGUUGUUUUUUCAGUCUGAAAUAGUUUGACCGCACAGCCCAAAUCUAUGGAACUGUUUUGGGCAGGAAAAUGUGCUUGCGGUCGGUCAUAAAGGGACCUCCAGCUAACUUUUUAACCCCUGGAUGGAUUUGGCUGAUUUUUGGUUACCGUAUAUACUCGAGUAUAAGCCGACCCAAAUAUAAGCCGAGGCCCCUAAUUUUACCACAAAAAACUUAUUGGGAAAACUUAUUGACUCGAGUAUAAGCCUAGGGUGGGAAAUGCAGCAGCUACUGGUAAAUUUCUAAAUACAAUUAGAUCCCAAUAAAAUUACAUUAAUUGAAUAUUUAUUUACAGUGUGUGUAUAGAAUGAAUGCAGAGUGUGUGUUUGUGUGUGUAUAUAAUGAAUGCAGUGUGUGGUUGUGUGUAUAUAAUGAAUGCAGAGUGUGUGUUUGUGUGUUGUGUGUGUAUAUAAUGAAUGCAGUGUCUCUUGCGCUGUAAGCAGAACGGAGCUGACAGAGGAGCUGCACGGAGGAGAAGGGAGCUGACCGGAG
rnacentral:lncRNA from 1 species